rnacentral:rRNA from 1 species
CUAUCAAUCUUAGUGGCGAACGGGUGAGUAACGCGUAAUCAACCUGCCCUUCAGAGGGGGACAACAGUUGGAAACGACUGCUAAUACCGCAUACGAUCUGACCUCGGCAUCGAGGAUGGAUGAAAGGUGGCCUCUAUUUAUAAGCUAUCACUGAAGGAGGGGAUUGCGUCUGAUUAGCUAGUUGGAGGGGUAACGGCCCACCAAGGCGAUGAUCAGUAGCCGGUCUGAGAGGAUGAACGGCCACAUUGGGACUGAGACACGGCCCAGACUCCUACGGGAGGCAGCAGUGGGGAAUCUUCCGCAAUGGACGAAAGUCUGACGGAGCAACGCCGCGUGAGUGAUGACGGCCUUCGGGUUGUAAAGCUCUGUUAAUCGGGACGAAAGGCCUUCUUGCGAAUAGUUAGAAGGAUUGACGGUACCGGAAUAGAAAGCCACGGCUAACUACGUGC